GGUUGUGGUUGUUGGUGCCUCAGUUGGAGUUGUUGUUGGUGCCUCAGUUGGAGUUGUUGUUGGUGCCUCAGUUGUUGUGGUCGUUGCUUCUGUUGUAGUUGUUGCUUCAGUUGUGGUUGUCGUUGGUGCCUCAGUUGUAAUUGUUACUUCAGUUGUUGUAAUUGUUGCUUCUGUUGUGGUUGUCGUUGGUGCCUCAGUUAUUGUGGUCAAUGUUUCUGUUGUGGUUGUUGUUGGUGCCUCAGUUUUUGUGGUUGUUGCUUCAGUUGUGGUUCUGUUUUGUUUCUCUUCAUUUUGCUGUGGUUGUUUCUGGGUUUUUUUUCGUCUUCUAGCUUUGUUGUGGUUGUUGCUUCAGUUGUGGUUGUCGUUGGUGCCUCAGUUGUUGGGGUUGUUGCUUCAGUUGUGGUUGUUGCUUCAGUUGUGGUUGUUGGUAGUGCCUCGGUUAUUGUGGUUGUUGCUUCAGUUGUGGUUUUUGAUGGUGCCUCAGUUGUUGUGGUUGUUGCUUUCACGUUGUGUUGUUGCUUCUCAGUUGUGGUUGUUGUUGUGG
rnacentral:lncRNA from 1 species